AUGCUCACUUCAGCAGCACAGAGACUAAAAUUGGGUUGAUAUGGAGAAGAUUAUUAGCAUGGUCCCUGCACAGGAUGACACACAGAUUUGUGAAGCUUUCCAUUUAAAG